GAAAGCCGUAUUCGAUGAAAGUCGUAUGUACGGUUUGGGGGGAGAUCUUUCAU
rnacentral:ribozyme from 1 species